rnacentral:rRNA from 1 species
GUGGUUGGUGUACAGGUGGUGCAUGGUUGUCGUCAGCUCGUGUCGUGAGAUGUUGGGUUAAGUCCCGCAACGAGCGCAACCCUUGUCUUAUGUUGCCAGCACGUGAUGGUGGGGACUCAUGAGAGACUGCCGGGGUUAACUCGGAGGAAGGUUGGGAUGACGUCAAAUCAUCAUGCCCCUUAUGUCCAGGGCUUCACACAUGCUACAAUGGUCGGUACAGCGCGUUGCUACAUCGUGAGGUGGUGCUAAUCGCUUAAAGCCGGCCUUAGUUCGGAUUGGGGUCUGCAACUCGACCCCAUGAAGUCGGAGUCGCUAGUAAUCGCAGAUCAGCAAUGCUGCGGUGAAUACGUUCCCGGGCCUUGUACACACCGCCCGUCACGGCAUGGA